rnacentral:lncRNA from 1 species
AUGAGGAUAGUUUGGUGUCAUCGUCCCUUUUCCCCUUUUGUGUGUCUGCUUGUGACACCCAGUCAUAUGACCUUGGGGAUGACUUAUCUGUUCUCACCUUGCAUCAUGUUUAUUAUUAAUGUUUUAGAUAUGACUGGCAGGACGGUUCCUUAUUCCAUGACUACUUUGCCCCUCCUCCAGCAUCUUGAAAAAAUGAAUUGGCCAUGUGUGCUGAGAUGCCUUUUGUCGACUACAGUAACCUUGUGCAACCCCAUUACAAAAAGGCAAACCCUUUAGAAGCAAGUACAAUGUCAGGUCCUACAAUUAAAAAGGAAUCUGGCAAACUGAGAGCAGUUUCAAUGAUCGACUUAUGGAAAUCCCUGAGGAGAUGAAACUAAGAAACUGCAGGAGAUAUUCAUCCAGACACUAUCUUCUUAAAGCUGAGGUGAAGAAAGGGGGACAGCUUUAUUCCAGCUACUACAUUAUCCUUCCUGGCCCCAAGCCUCUGAAGUCCAGGUAACUUAAGAGCUGAGCCUCUAGGUAAAUGAGUAUUAUAUAUCACAGUUCCUAGCCCUGUGCCUUGCCACACUAGUUACUCAGCAAAACACGAGCUCCCUGUGGAAGUCAUACUCUAAGAUAACUCAGAACUAUUUCCAUUUCCUGGCAUUUAAGACAUGUGCAAUUCUCUCCCGUGCCCCCACCUUUAGUAUGGGCUGAUCUGCGAUCACUUCUAACAAACUGAAUUCAGCAAAAGUGAUGGAUUCACUUCCAUUAAUAGAUUGCUGAAGGAUCUUACUUGCCUUCAGCUAGCAGAUGCUCUUCCUUGCUGACUUUGACAGUGAGUCAUCAGGUUCUGCGCUACCUGUCCAAAGGCCUCCUUGACAAGGAAUUGAGGUUGGUCCCCAGGUCAAUGACUAACAAGGAACUAAGGUCCUUAGUCCAACAAGGUUCAGAAACUGAGUUCUUCUCAUAACUGGAACAGUUGACUCCUUCCCCUGUUGAGAUCUCAAAUUAUAUUCCAACCCUGAAGCCACAAUUGGACUGUAGUCUUAGAAGAGAUUCUAAGUCAGGAUUUCCCUGUGUCUAGAUUGCUGACCUACUGCAACUGUGAAAUAAUGAACAUGUAUCAUUUUAAGUUGUUAACUUUGUGAAUAAUUUAUUAUACAGUAAUAGUUAACCAAUACACACUCCCAAAAUAUGACACAUCCUGGCUUUUAAGCCCCCUUUUUUCUUUCUGGAGACCCCACAAAAACAGUUUGUCAAUCUUAUUACCAAGCCUGCACUUUCCACCGUCAUC